UUUUAACGAGAGUUUGAUCCUGGCUCAGGAUGAACGCUGGCGGCGUGCUUAACACAUGCAAGUCGAGCGAAGCGCUUAGGUUUGAUUCUUCGGAUGAAGACCUUUGUGACUGAGCGGCGGACGGGUGAGUAACGCGUGGGUAACCUGCCUCGUACAGGGGGAUAACAGUUAGAAAUGACUGCUAAUACCGCAUAAGACCACGGUA
rnacentral:rRNA from 1 species